rnacentral:rRNA from 1 species
UACGUAGGGGGCCAGCGUUGUCCGAAGUUACUGGGCGUAAAGCGCGCGUAGGCGGGGAAGAAAGUCUACUGUGAAAGCCCGGAGCUUAACUCCGGAGGGUCGGUAGAUACUUUUUCUCUUGAAGCUGCUAGGGGGAGGUGGAAUUCCACGUGUAGCGGUGAAAUGCGUAGAGAUGUGGAGGAACACCAGUGGCGAAAGCGGCCCACUGGAUCGGUACUGACGCUGAGGUGCGAAAGCGUGGGGAGCAAACAGG